UAUUUUAUAUUAAAAAUAUUUUUAAAUUGAUUUUAAUGAAUUUAAAUUUUAUUAAUUAAAAUAUUAUUUAAAAUAUUAUUUUUAGUAUAGAUUUGAAUAAAAUAUAUUUUUAUAUGAAUAGUAUUGAUAAAGAAAAAAAUUAUUUUUUUAAAAUUUAAUUUUUUAUUUUUACCUUUUGUAUCAGGGUUUAUUAAAAUUAAAAUUUAAUUAGUUUUUCUCGAAAUAAUUUGAUUUAAAUAAUAAUAAUAAUUUUUUGUAAAAUUAAAAUUUUUAAUUAUUAUUUGGAAAUUAUAUGUUUUCAUAAAUUAUUAUAUCUAGUUAAUUUAUAAAUAAAUUUAAUUUAGAUAAUAUAUAAAUUAAUAAAUUUAAUUUUAUAUUUAUUAAUAAUAUAUUAUUAAUAUUAUAAGGGAUAAACUUUAUAUUAAUUUUUAUAAUUAUUUAUAUUAAUUAUUAUUUUUUUAGAAUUAAAAAUUUUUAUGAAUUAAUAGUAUUUAAUAAUUAAAAUUUUAAUGAUAUAAUUUAAAUUAAUUUAAAUUAUUUAUAAAUUUAAUUUUUAUAAUUUUAUAUAAAAUAAAAUAAUGAUAAAAUUAGUAAAUAAAAAUUUUUAAUUAGUUAAUGUUAUUAAAGAUUAAUUUAAGGAAUUAGGCAAAAAUUUUUCUCACCUGUUUAUUAAAAACAUGGUUUUUUGAAUAUUAAUUUAAAAUCAAAUCUGCUCAAUGAAUUUAAAUUUAAAUAGCUGCAGUAUUUUGACUGUACUAAGGUAGCAUAAUCAUUUGUCUUUUUAAUGAAGUCUGGAAUGAAAGAUUUAAUGAGGAAAAGUCUGUCUCAAAUUUAAUUUAUUAAAUUUAAUUUUAAGUUAAAAAUCUUAAAUAUAAUUAAAAGACGAGAAGACCCUAUAGAAUUUUAUUUUAUUUUUAAUUUUAUACAUAUGUAAAAUUAUAUUUAAAAUUUUAUUGGGGUGAUAGUAAAAUUUUUAAAAUUUUUAUAUUUUUAAUCAUAAAUUUAUGAAGUUAAUAUCCAAAAAUUUUGAAAUUAAAUUAAAUUACCUUAGGGAUAACAGCGUUAUUUUUUUAAAUAGUUCAUAUUGAUAAAAAAGAUUGCGACCUCGAUGUUGAAUUAAGAUAAAUAUUUUAUGAAGAAAUAAUUAUAUUAAGUCUGUUCGACUUUUAAAAUCUUACAUGAUUUGAGUUUAAAUCGGCGUGAGCCAGAUUGGAUUCUAUCUUUAAUAAAAUAUAAUAAAUUUGUACGAAAGGACUUUUUAUUAAUAAUAAUUAUUAAUAUUGAAUAAAAUUAAU
rnacentral:rRNA from 1 species